rnacentral:rRNA from 1 species
GAUGAACGCUGGCGGCGUGCCUAAUACAUGCAAGUCGAGCGAACGGACGAGAAGCUUGCUUCUCUGAUGUUAGCGUCGGACGGGUGAGUAACACGUGGAUAACCUACCUAUAAGACUGGGAUAACUUCGGGAAACCGGAGCUAAUACCGGAUGAUAUUUUGAACCGCAUGGUUCAAAAGUGAAAGACGGUCUUGCUGUCACUUAUAGAUGGAUCCGCGCUGCAUUAGCUAGUUGGUAAGGUAACGGCUUACCAAGGCAACGAUGCAUAGCCGACCUGAGAGGUUGAUCGGCCACACUGGAACUGAGACACGGUCCAGACUCCUACGGGAGGCAGCAGUAGGGAAUCUUCCGCAAUGGGCGAAAGCCUGACGGAGCAACGCCGCGUGAGUGAUGAAGGUCUUCGGAUCGUAAAACUCUGUUAUUAGGGAAGAACAUAUGUGUAAGUACCUGUGCACAUCUUGACGGUACCUAAUCAGAAAGCCACGGCUAACUACGUG